CGUAAUAAUAGAAACUAACCGGGAUUCCCUUAGUAACGGCGAGUGAACUGGGAAGUAGUGCGUGCGAUUAAUUCACUCUGUGAUUUAUUCGCAGCUCAGCCCGUCGAUAUAAUCCAUUCUUAGCGUGCAGUUACUUCGGUAUCUCUCGCUGGAAGGAAUUGUAGCAUCGAAUACACAUUCAAGUUGUAUCACGCAUCAGACACUCAUACGCUCCUACAGUCUCGCAUACACAUCACUGGUUGAAACACACAGCGUUUAGCGUUGGAAAGCAAUUAUUGUAGUUUCACUACAGCCAUAGAGUGUGACAGCCACGUUUUAUGGAGUGAUAACCAUAUGCAGACACACACCGCGUCGAUACGUAAUUCGUGAAUGUUGAACCUGAGCGAGUUGUUU
rnacentral:rRNA from 1 species